GAUGAAUGUUUUAGCAUGGAGGUUCGUAGUUCUGUUGAGCAAAGUACGGAAUACAUCCGUAAAGAAGCACGUUAUUCAAGGAUAGUGCUUGCAGAAGAAGGCUCGUUGCCGGACUAUUUUUAUGAUGUAAAGAAACUACGCGGCCUCGUAAUUCAAUCCAAAGGAGGUUCGGUGAUCAAAGCAGUCCUACCUAGUUUAUUCAGUGAAUUAACUUGUUUGAGAUCGUUGGAUCUAAGCUGUUGUGAUAUCGAAGAAAUCCCACCAACAAUAAGACAAUUGAUACAUUUGAGGCAACUU
rnacentral:misc_RNA from 1 species